rnacentral:lncRNA from 1 species
UGCUCUAUUGAAAAAUAGAUCUAAAACUGUUAGGGCUUUGAAGUAAUUCCUGUAAAAACAUUUGAGGAUUACAGAUUUCAUUUUCUCAUACUUUCCUCCUAACCAAACAAUCCUAAAACCCAAAACCCUGAUUCACAUUUCAAGACAAUCAGACAUUAAAAAGAAAAAAAAAAAAGGAAUAGAAAAACAACAAAAGAAUAGAGGGUUACUUUUGAUCCGAUCAACGAUGAAUCCUUUCUCCUCUCUUUCUCCCGGUUCUCCUUUCUAGCUCUCUGUUUUCCUCUCUGUGUCUCAGGUACCAGCUCCUCCCUCUCUUCCGGUUCUCCUAGUUUACCUUUUUCCUCCCAGAGUCUCCCAACGGCCAGGAAAACCCACUACUCCCAUCACCUGCUGGUUACUCUUGCUUUUCAGCUCACUAACCCGCCUAAAAGAAGAAGCAAUCCCUCUUCGAAACGUGACAACUGCAGGGAAUAUCUGCCGCCCUUAACAAACCCAAUAUCCCCCUUUUGCCAGGUGUCCUCAUCUGGACCUAGGAGAAUAUCCUCUCCAUAGCUCCUAACAGCCCCACCUAGACAAUUGUGUUUUGUACUUGAACCC